rnacentral:misc_RNA from 1 species
GAUGAAGAACGUAGCGAAAUGCGAUACUUGGUGUGAAUUGCAGAAUCCCGUGAACCAUCGAGUCUUUGAACGCAAGUUGCGCCCGAAGCCAUCAGGUUGAGGGCACGUCUGCCUGGGCGUCACAUAUCGUUGCCCAAUGCCUAUUGCAGUGCAAUAGGAAUUUCUAGGGCGAAUGAUGGCUUCCCGUGAGCGUUGUUGCCUCGCGGUUGGUUGAAAAUCGAGUCCUUGGUAGGGUGUGCCAUGGUAGAUGGUGGUCGAGUUAGAACGAUACCGAUCAUGUGCAUGCUCCCCAAAAUAUGGCCUCUAUGACCCACACGCGUCUUUUGACGCCCAUGACGAGACCUCAGGUCAGGCGGGGCUACCCGCUGAAUUUAAGCAUAUCAAUAAGCGGAGGA